GGCAGUCUUGAUUUUAGCUGCUUUUGCUGUGACAAGACCCGGACGAGGGAGACAUCUGAAUGAUGUUUGGAUUUGCUGGAGUCCUAAAAGAAAGAUUACCAGCUUCAUGGCGUUCUGUCCUUGGCAAGAGCUAAGAAAGGUCUAACAAUGCCUUUGUCCAGUCGUCGGAACACUGACUAUAUCUGCCUUGAGAGCUUCAGCUUGGAGCUAGAGGGAUAUUAUCAGCACUGAUUCGCACUUUGAAUCCCAUAAAGAUAAAUCGGUUCCUGCUAGCAAUAUAUCGCCUGAUACGAGGUGGUGACAAACCCCAUAGUUUUCCUUGGGGAAAUGUGGUAUCUAAAUAAUGGCAGAUUUAUGCCCUGCCCUGCCUAUCUUUACAACGCUUUAAAAUUGGAAUGUUUUUGGCACGCUUGUUUGUCCAAUAGCCACAUGCUGAGCAUUGCAAUGCCUAUCUUUAUAUCUCUAGACGGUUGCUGUAUUUAUCGAGUACACCUCUCGCUACCUCAGUACAUCCUCUUAUUGAGCCAACAAAGAAUUAUAGAUUCCUCACACUACAGAGGCUGAGUUGAAUGGAACUUUGACGAGUCGUAAGCGUAAAUCACAAUAAGAAAGCAUUUACAGCUGGAAAAACCUGAACAACCAUUAUCACUUGAAUUUUAUUAGAAUACAAUAAAUCAGAAGAGAUUAGAAUCGCA